GACGAACGCUGGCGGCGUGCUUAACACAUGCAAGUCGAACGGAAAGGCCCUGCUUUUGUGGGGUGCUCGAGUGGCGAACGGGUGAGUAACACGUGAGUAACCUGCCCUUGACUUUGGGAUAACUUCAGGAAACUGGGGCUAAUACCGGAUAGGAGCUCCUGCUGCAUGGUGGGGGUUGGAAAGUUUCGGCGGUUGGGGCUGGACUGGCGGGUUAUCAGCUUGUUUGUGGGGUAGUGGCUUACCAAGGCUUUGAAGGAUAGCCGGCCUGAGAGGGUGACCGGCCACAAUGGGACUGAGAGAGGGCCCAGACGCGAACGGGAGGCAACAGUGGAAAAUAUGGCAGAAUGGGCGGAAGCCUGAGGCAGAAACGCCGCGUGCGGGAAGACGGGCUUCGGGGUGUAAACCGCUUUCGCCUGAGACGAAGCGUGAGUGACGGUAAUGGGUAAAGAAGCACCGGCUAACUACGUG
rnacentral:rRNA from 1 species